rnacentral:rRNA from 1 species
AUGAACGCUGGCGGCAUGCCUAACACAUGCAAGUCGAACGAAGCCUUCGGGCUUAGUGGCGCACGGGUGCGUAACGCGUGGGAAUCUGCCCCUCGGUUCGGAAUAACAGUUAGAAAUGACUGCUAAUACCGGAUGAUGACGAAAGUCCAAAGAUUUAUCGCCGAGGGAUGAGCCCGCGUAGGAUUAGCUUGUUGGUGAGGUAAAAGCUCACCAAGGCGACGAUCCUUAGCUGGUCUGAGAGGAUGAUCAGCCACACUGGGACUGAGACACGGCCCAGACUCCUACGGGAGGCAGCAGUGGGGAAUAUUGGACAAUGGGCGAAAGCCUGAUCCAGCAAUGCCGCGUGAGUGAUGAAGGCCUUAGGGUUGUAAAGCUCUUUUACCCGGGAUGAUAAUGACAGUACCAGGAGAAUAAGCUCCGGCUAACUCCGU